ensembl:lncRNA junctional cadherin complex regulator
GAACGGAAUCGGAUUACCUAAUGUGUGCGGCGUUGCCAUAGUUGCAGUGUAAGGGAGACUACUGACCGAGCAAAACAGCCCAGAGGGAAAAUCGCACUGCUGGAGAAAGAUUAACCUUAUAGAAAUGGAAUACUUGGAUGCACAAGGAACACGCCAGCUUCUGACGACCAACCAGAAGAUAAAUGGCUCCUUCACUGAGAAUCCAAAGAUUUGCAUUGAGGAGUAUCAGUCUAAAGAAGAAUACAGUCAGUCGUGUAGUGAUAUAUACCAACCCGAAAUAAAUGGACAAUACAGAUAUAAUAUUAACACUGGGCCAAUUGUAGUUGAGACUCCUCAUGACCAGCCGUACCACCUUCACCCACCAUAUGUUCAGAGCUCGGAAGAAAUUCAAGGUUGUCAUAAAAAUAAUUUGCAACAAAGAUCACCACAUAAUGAACUUCGCAAGUUGUCCAGAUUUUCUGUUGUAAAUGAAAGUGACAGAGGUUCACAAAGAGAAUCAAUAGAGAGUUGUAAUAAUGGCUUUGUGAAUGCUAAAAAUGUUGGCAUGUAUCUUCAGGUAACAGAGGAUACAAAUGCUUUAGAAUUACAAACCUGCUACCAGCAAGAACCUAGACAAACACAGCAGAGUUCCAGUCAAAAACAGAAACUGAGCAAAUCCACAUUGAGUCCCAAAGAUGUAUGGAACAAAAAACCUGGAAGAAAGACAAAGGAUAUAGUGGAACGUAACAAAAUAACCCUGGGCCACAACACAUCCAGAUCCAAUUUUGGCUCCUAUGUGAGGAUUCACAUGUUGAAACAGGAGAGGCCUCAUGAUGUGAAUGAGCACGGCCAGGAUUUAAUCAUACAAUUAACAUCUCUCCUUGGUCAUCUUCAUUGGAGCCAUGUUCAGCUUGCCUUGUCCACGGGAAAUAAACAGACAGGUUCAGAAAAACUCUCCUACAAGUCUCCAGGAGGGUUAAACAAACAAUCCAUUCAACAAAACGUGAUGAGUAGUCCUGUCCAAAGGAAGUUGCCAAUUUCCGAUGAUGGAGAGAAGCAAAACUUGAGUCCAGACAAGGUUCAUAUAAAACAGGUCCCUCAAAGCUUCCACAGAACACAUGCUACUUCUUUAUUACAGACCCUGGGCUCCUACCCAGUUCUUCCACCUAUAGAAAGACCUGCAACAAGGACAGAGAAUGAACUGGAGACUGGCCAGCAUGUGAACUUAGCCUGUUCCGUCCACAGAAGCAGCUCUGACAGCUAUCUGAAUCAGUUGGAGAAACAAAUUAAGCUGAGGGACAAAGUUACUAACAAGGCACACAGUCUGAGAGACUACAAACAGCAGACACGUACAAAUUUGCGAGGCCUAGGAUCUGACCACUCCGUCACUGAAAAGACAAAUAGAAAGAAAAGUGGGAUUCCUUUUCUACUGGCUAAGGAUGUGGAAGAUGACGACAAGAAAGUUCUCAGGACAAAGGCUUUGGAAUAUGCUAAGACCAUAUCUAAACGCCCUUUACAGUUUCAACCAAAACAGAGACAGAGGCAGCCAAUGAACGUCUUCACUGCUUGUGCACCCUACUUGCAGGAUGUGGAUGCAUUGCAGCUGGCCACACUGGAACUACUUAGAAAACGACAUGAAGAAGAGAAGCAGGCUGUGGCACACUUUGGAAAAAGUGCAUCUUAUAUAAAGCAAGGUGCGAUUCAAAGCCUGCACUCUGAUAGAUAG